rnacentral:misc_RNA from 1 species
CCGGUGAUGGGGAUAGAAAAAGCAGAACUCGCAGUUUUUAAUUUUAAUUUUUCAUUUUUUUCUCAAUUUCGGCGACUGAGCGCUGAUUAUGAUGAACAACGGCCAAAGACUCUUGGCGACGAAACCUCAAAUGCUUGGCAAUGAACUCGUCUACCGCGCGCUGAAAGUCCCCGUCACUUAAUUCAUUCUCUGGACAAAAACUCUCGCAGUCGGUGAACUUCACCGCAUUCAUGCACUUCUCAGUCUCCGAUCGCCGCAGCUUCUUCGCUUUCACCUUCUCCGCGCACUUUUUCCGUAGCUUCUCCGAUUUUGACCUUCGACAAACUCUCGGAUUGCCAGAAUCCGUUUCCAAAUGUGAAUCCGAAAACGA